UACACAUGCAGUCGAGCGGGGAGAUGUAGCUUGCUACAUUUNUCUAGCGGCGGACGGGUGAGUAAUGCUUAGGAAUCUGCCUAUUAGUGGGGGACAACGUUUCGAAAGGAACGCUAAUACCGCAUACGCCCUACGGGGGAAAGCAGGGGCUCUUCGGACCUUGCGCUAAUAGAUGAGCCUAAGUCAGAUUAGCUAGUUGGUGGGGUAAAGGCCUACCAAGGCGACGAUCUGUAGCGGGUCUGAGAGGAUGAUCCGCCACACUGGGACUGAGACACGGCCCAGACUCCUACGGGAGGCAGCAGUGGGGAAUAUUGGACAAUGGGGGGAACCCUGAUCCAGCCAUGCCGCGUGUGUGAAGAAGGCCUUUUGGUUGUAAAGCACUUUAAGCGAGGAGGAGGCUCCUAUAGAUAAUACCUAUNGUGAGUGGACGUUACUCGCAGAAUAAGCACCGGCUAACUCUGUGCCAGCAGCCGCGGUAAUACAGAGGGUGCGAGCGUUAAUCGGAUUUACUGGGCGUAAAGCGUACGUAGGCGGCUUUUUAAGUCGGAUGUGAAAUCCCUGAGCUUAACUUAGGAAUUGCAUUCGAUACUGGGAAGCUAGAGUAUGGGAGAGGAUGGUAGAAUUCCAGGUGUAGCGGUGAAAUGCGUAGAGAUCUGGAGGAAUACCGAUGGCGAAGGCAGCCAUCUGGCCUAAUACUGACGCUGAGGUACGAAAGCAUGGGGAGCAAACAGGAUUAGAUACCCUGGUAGUCCAUGCCGU
rnacentral:rRNA from 2 species